CGCAUCUGUGCAUGCAGCAUAUCAAUAAGCGGAGGAAAAGAAACUAACAAGGAUUCCCCUAGUAACGGCGAGUGAAGCGGGAAGAGCUCAAAUUUGAAAUCUUAAAGGGUUUCCCUUUACGAAUUGUAGUUUAAAGAAGUGUUUUCUGUUGAGGUUUUGGUAAAAGUUCUUUGGAAUAGGACAUCAUAGAGGGUGAGAAUCCCGUAUUUGACCUUUACUUUCAACUUUGUGAUACACUUUCAAAGAGUCGGAUUGUUUGGGAAUGCAGUCCAAAAUGGGUGGUAAAUUUCAUCUAAAGCUAAAUAUUGGCGAGAGACCGAUAGCGAACAAGUACCGUGAGGGAAAGAUGAAAAGAACUUUGAAAAGAGAGUUAAACAGUACGUGAAAUUGUCAAAAGGGAAGCGUUUGACACCAGUGUUGUUUUUCUGAAAAUCAAUUAAAGAACUGUUUAUGCUAAGCUGUUUAGACUUUAUCAGCUAAUCUGUUUAGUUUUGAGCUUUUCUUUAAUGCACUUUUCAGUUAACAAGUCAACAUCAAUUUCUUUGCUGUAAAAAAGCUUGAGGAAGGUGGCUUGAGAUUCGUCUUAAGUGUUUAUAGCCUCUUGCCUAUGCAGUCGGAGAGAUUGAGGUCUGCAGCGUAGAUCCUUCGGGGCUAAAUGCAUUUGUGCUAAGUUAUAGCAUUUUAUAGACAACUUGUUGACUAUGAUUUGUCUUGUAGCUUACUCGCUUAUGUUAUUUUACCUACGCUUAGGAUGUUGAAUCUGUGCGAGACUAC
rnacentral:rRNA from 1 species